rnacentral:tRNA from 1 species
GGGGGUAUAGCUCAGUGGCAGAGCAAUCGACUGCAGAUCGAUAGGUCCCCGGAUUCGACUUCCGGUGCCCCCU